GAUCAGGCUCAGGACGAACGCUGGCGGCGUGCCUAACACAUGCAAGUCGAACGGAGAAUUUUAUUUCGGUAGAAUUCUUAGUGGCGAACGGGUGAGUAACGCGUAGGCAACCUGCCCUUUAGACGGGGACAACAUUCCGAAAGGAGUGCUAAUACCGGAUGUGAUCAUCUUGCCGCAUGGCAGGAUGAAGAAAGAUGGCCUCUACAAGUAAGCUAUCGCUAAAGGAUGGGCCUGCGU
rnacentral:rRNA from 1 species